rfam:Triticum aestivum genome assembly, contig: Triticum_aestivum_CS42_TGACv1_scaffold_472667_6AL
UUCUUACUCCUUCCGUUCCGAAUUAUUUGUCGCGGGUAUGAAUGUAUCUAGAUGUAUUUUAAUUAUAGAUACAUCUAUUUCUGCGACACGUAAUUUGGAAUGGGGGAAGUACAUG